CCUUUUUUUUUUAUAAUCUAAUCUCUCCCUCUUUGGCAGAUCGGAAGCCACCCGCCGCCGGUUGCCGGAAAAAGAUAAGUCCUCCCUUCCCUCUCUUCUUCUCUUACCCCUUUUUCCCGUCUCUCUCUCUCUUUUUUUUUUUUUUACAGAAGCCCUAACCAUCUCUCUCUCUACCCUCUUCUCUCUCGUUUUGGCAGGACAAGGGCUAGCGGCUGUGACGCCGCCGCCGUCGCCGACCGUGAGCAGCCCCCGGCUGCUCUCACCUCUUUCCCCAUUUUCGGACAACACACACACAACAAAGACACAAGAAGCCCCCAAUUUCAGUCCAGAUUUACAAGUAUAGCAAAGCUAGGGUUUUGUUUAGAAAUUCUGUUCUUUCAUCAUUCAUUUAUCAUUUCCUUAGCAAAAAUCAAACCUUGUAAAUG
rnacentral:lncRNA from 1 species